GAUGAACGCUGGCGGCGUGCCUAAUACAUGCAAGUCGAGCGAACAGACGAGGAGCUUGCUCCUCUGACGUUAGCGGCGGACGGGUGAGUAACACGCGGAUAACCUACCUAUAAGACUGGGAUAACUUCGGGAAACCGGAGCUAAUACCGGAUAAUAUAUUGAACCGCAUGGUUCAAUAGUGAAAGACGGUUUUGCUGUCACUUAUAGAUGGAUCCGCGCCGCAUUAGCUAGUUGGUAAGGUAACGGCUUACCAAGGCAACGAUGCGUAGCCGACCUGAGAGAGUGAUCGGCCACACUGGGACUGAGACACGGUCCAGACUCCUACGGGAGGCAGCAGUAGGGAAUCUUCCGCAAUGGGCGAAAGCCUGACGGAGCGACGCCGCGUGAGUGAUGAAGGUCUUCGGAUCGUAAAACUCUGUUAUUAGGGAAGAACAAAUGUGUAAGUAACUAUGCACGUCUUGACGGUACCUAAUCAGAAAGCCACGGCUAACUACGUG
rnacentral:rRNA from 1 species